CAUUGAUUCUGAUUCCUAAACCGCACUCAAGUUCUAUCUAAAAAUUAAUUUUCUUGUUCAUUCUGUAAAAAAAAAAAAAAAAGUGCGUAUGUUUUACUUUUUAGUGAAUUCCUACUAUUUCUUGAUUUAAACUGUGGGGGAAAUGGAUUUUGAUUACUGGGCUGCUGGAGUUCAUUCAACUAAGAAGUUUUCUACUCUCCAAGAUGCCAGACUUAAUAAAUCAAGUGUGGAUAAUUGAUUAAUUUCACAGUUAUAGUUUUGGGUUCUUGAAUUGCUUUUUUAUUUUCUUGCUCAAAAUAAUUGUUUUUUCGUGAGGUUUUG
rnacentral:lncRNA from 1 species